AGAGUUUGAUCCUGGCUCAGAACGAACGCUGGCGGCAUGCCUAACACAUGCAAGUCGAACGUGAUCCGGGGCUUGCUCCGGUGAAAGUGGCGGACGGGUGAGUAACGCGUGGGAACCUGCCCAGUGGUCGGGGAUAACUGCGGGAAACUGCAGCUAAUACCCGGUAAGCCCUACGGGGGAAAGAUUUAUCGCCAUUGGAGGGGCCCGCGUCGGAUUAGGUAGUUGGUGGGGUAAAGGCCUACCAAGCCUUCGAUCCGUAGCUGGUCUGAGAGGAUGAUCAGCCACACUGGGACUGAGAUACGGCCCAGACUCCUACGGGAGGCAGCAGUGGGGAAUAUUGGACAAUGGGCGCAAGCCUGAUCCAGCAAUGCCGCGUGAGUGAAGAAGGCCUUAGGGUUGUAAAGCUCUUUCGGCGGGGACGAUGAUGACGGUACCCGCAGAAGAAGCCCCGGCUAACUCCGUGCCAACAGCCGCGGUAAUACGGAGGGGGCUAGCGUUGUUCGGAAUUACUGGGCGUAAAGGGCGCGUAGGCGGCGCGAUAAGUUGGGCGUGAAAGGCCCGGGCUCAACCCGGGGACUGCGCUUGAUACUGUCGCGCUGUGAGUCCGGGAGAGGAUGGCGGAAUUCCCAGUGUAGAGGUGAAAUUCGUAGAUAUUGGGAAGAACACCGGUGGCGAAGGCGGCCAUCUGGACCGGCACUGACGCUGAGGCGCGAAAGCGUGGGGAGCAAACAGGAUUAGAUACCCCAGUAGUCC
rnacentral:rRNA from 1 species